UACGGAAGGCAGCAGUGGGGAAUAUUGGACAAUGGGCGAAAGCCUGAUCCAGCCAUGCCGCAUGAGUGAAGAAGGCCUUCGGGUUGUAAAGCUCUUUUAGUGAGAAAGAUAAUGACGGUACUCACAGAAGAAGUCCUGGCUAACUCCGUGCCAGCAGCCGCGGUAAUACGGAGGGUGCUAGCGUUAAUCAGAAUUACUGGGCGUAAAGAGCACGUAGGUGGUUUUUUAAAGUCAGAUGUGAAAUCCCUGGGCUUUAACCUAGGAACUGCAUUUUGAAACUGAAAUACUAGAGUAUCGUAGAGGGAGGUAGAAUUCUAGGUGUAGCGGUGAAAUGCGUAGAUAUCUGGAGGAAUACCUGUGGCGAAAGCGGCCUCCUAAACGAAUACUGACACUGAGGUGCGAAAGCGUGGGGAGCAAACAGGGAUUAGAUACC
rnacentral:rRNA from 1 species